UCAUAACCUAAUCAGAUCUGACUUGAUUGAAUCCAAUUCAAUCAGAUUUGAUCCAUACUUUAAUACUCAAUUAAAUUGAGUUAAUUAGCAAUCUAAUCAUUAAUUAAUUUUUUAUUAAUUAUAAAGUUUCAGUCCAGUGGGAUUCUUCACUAGAGUCUCAGUCUAGUGGGACUUUUCACUAGAGUCCCAGUUCAGUGAGACUCUUCAUAUUAGCCAUCUAAUCAGAGAGAAACUUCUAAUAUGUAUAACCCCAUAAGUUUGAACCU
rnacentral:lncRNA from 1 species